CGGGGUGGCGAAAUGGGUAAACGCGACGGACUUAAAAUCCGUUGUCCCGAAAGGGAUUUGUGGGUUCGAUCCCCACCCCCGG
rnacentral:tRNA from 1 species